rnacentral:rRNA from 1 species
AAUCAACGCUGGCGGCGUGCCUAACACAUGCAAGUCGAGCGCGAAAGGGGGGCAACUCCCAAGUAGAGCGGCGAACGGGUGAGUAACGCGUGGGUAAUCUACCUUCGAGUGGGGAACAACAGCGGGAAACUGCUGCUAAUACCGCAUGACAUCGCUGGGCUCUCGAGCCUGACGAUCAAAGCCGGGGACCGUAAGGCCUGGCGCUUGAAGAGGAGCCCGCGUCCGAUUAGCUAGUUGGCGGGGUAACGGCCCACCAAGGCUACGAUCGGUAGCCGGCCUGAGGAGGGCGGACGGCCACACUGGGACUGAGACACGGCCCAGACUCCUACGGGAGGCAGCAGUGGGGAAUUUUCGCAAUGGGGGAAACCCUGACGAAGCAACGCCGCGUGGGGAUGAAGGUCUUCGGAUUGUAAACCCCUGUCGACCGGGACGAAAGUAGUCCGACCCAAUACGUCGGGCUAUCGACUGUACCGGUGGAGGAAG